GAUCCUGGCUCAGAUUGAACGCUGGCGGCAUGCCUUACACAUGCAAGUCGAACGGUAACAGGGAGCUUGCUCCGCUGACGAGUGGCGAACGGGUGAGUAAUAUAUCGGAACGUACCGUUCAGUGGGGGACAACGUAGCGAAAGUUACGCUAAUACCGCAUAUUCUGUGAGCAGGAGAGCAGGGGAUCGCAAGACCUUGCGCUGAUUGAGCGGCCGAUAUCAGAUUAGCUUGUUGGUGAGGUAAAAGCUCACCAAGGCGACGAUCUGUAGCGGGUCUGAGAGGAUGAUCCGCCACACUGGAACUGAGACACGGUUCAGACUCCUACGGGAGGCAGCAGUGGGGAAUUUUGGACAAUGGGGGCAACCCUGAUCCAGCCAUGCCGCGUGAGUGAAGAAGGCCUUCGGGUUGUAAAGCUCUUUCAGCCGGGAAGAAAACGCAUGGGUUAAUACCCUGUGUGGAUGACGGUACCGGAAUAAGAAGCACCGGCUAACUACGUGCCAGCAGCCGCGGUAAUACGUAGGGUGCGAGCGUUAAUCGGAAUUACUGGGCGUAAAGCGUGCGCAGGCGGUUUUGUAAGACAGGCGUGAAAUCCCCGGGCUUAACCUGGGAACUGCGUUUGUGACUGCAAGGCUAGAGUACGGCAGAGGGGGGUGGAAUUCCACGUGUAGCAGUGAAAUGCGUAGAGAUGUGGGGGAACACCAAUGGCGAAGGCAGCCCCCUGGGUCGAUACUGACGCUCAUGCACGAAAGCGUGGGUAGCAAACAGGAUUAGAUACCCUGGUAGUCCACGCCCUAAACGAUGUCAACUAGGUGUUGGGAGGGUAAAACCUUUCAGUACCGGAGCUAACGCGUGAAGUUGACCGCCUGGGGAGUACGGCCGCAAGGUUAAAACUCUAAGGAAUUGACGGGGACCCGCACAAGCGGUGGAUGAUGUGGAUUAAUUCGAUGCAACGCGAAAAACCUUACCUACCCUUGACAUGCCAAGAACUUUCCAGAGAUGGAUUGGUGCCCGAAAGGGAGCUUGGACACAGGUGCUGCAUGGCUGUCGUCAGCUCGUGUCGUGAGAUGUAGGGUUAAGUCCCGCAACGAGCGCAACCCUUGUCGUUAAUUGCCAUCAUUCAGUUGGGCACUUUAACGAGACUGCCGGUGACAAACCGGAGGAAGGUGGGGAUGACGUCAAGUCCUCAUGGCCCUUAUGGGUAGGGCUUCACACGUCAUACAAUGGUCGGUACGAAGGGUCGCCAAGCCGCGAGGUGGAG
rnacentral:rRNA from 1 species